rnacentral:rRNA from 1 species
CCUACGGGCGGCAGCAGUGAGGCAUAUUGGUCAAUGGCCGGAAGGCUGAACCAGCCCAGCCGCGUGAAGGACGAAGGUGCCAAGCAUUGUAAACUUCUUUUGUCAAGGGACAAAAUCAGGCUCGAGAGCCUGACCGAGGGUACUUGAAGAAAAAGCAUCGGCUAACUCCGUGCCAGCAGCCGCGGUAAUCCGGAGGAUGCGAGCGUUAUCCGGCUUUAUUGGGUUUAAAGGGUGCGUAGGCGGACUGUUAAGUCAGCGGUAAAAGCCCGGGGCUAAACCCCGGAGAGCCGUUGAAACUGGCGGUCUUGAGAUGUCGAGAGGUAUGCGGAAGUCGCAGGGUAGCGGUGAAAUGCUUAGAUAUCGCGCAGAACUCCGAUUGCGAAGGCAGCAUACCGGCGGCGAUCUGACGCUGAGGCACGAAAGCGUGGGUAGCGAACAGGAUUAGAUACCCUUGUAGUC